CUUAAAGUGCCUAUGACACGAAAUUUCACCCCAAAGGUUUAUGGUUGCAUUGUGAAGAUCACUUAAAAUGACUUAAUAAUUUCUUUUAUAGAAUUUUGGUAACUUGCUCCCUUUUCAAGAUAUUCAACAUUGUUUCAUAUGCAAAUAUCACCGGUGUGACAUCACAUCACAUAAUGAGUUUUCAGAAAAGUAUAGUUUUCUUCACGAAUACGUAUCUAAAAAACUUAAAAAUUGCCCUUGUAUAUGUAUUAAUGUCAUAACUGGUAAUUAACCCUUUGUAUUUGUUUGUAAAAAUAUUUUAUCAAGGUAAAAUAUUGCGUUUUCAAAAUGUCAUUAUGCGAUGUGAUGUCACACCGGUGAUAUUUGCAUAUGAAACAAAGUUGAAUAUCUUGCAAAGGAAGCAAGUUAC
rnacentral:lncRNA from 1 species